CCAUGAAUUCAUGCUUGUACAUUGCUAGUUAUUGAUUUUUUUGCAAGUCUUCUUCUUCCUCGAUCUUGUGCAGCAGCAACAAUUCAAGGUCAUGGUCAUGGAGCAGCAGCCAUAUAUUUUUCUUCUUAUUCCUCCCUGAGAUGACAUGAGAUGAGGCUCUGUUGGUCGGUCUUCAAUUCUUCAUGCUGCUGCUGCUACUGCUACAUGAGGACCCUCUUCAAUUCUGCAUCCGUUGCGGCCGCCGCAGCUUCCACCUCUACCCGGCCGCAUUCGCAAGUAUGCUGGCAUUUCAUUCAGGACAAAGAAGUUGGAUGAAGCAUAGUUUUACCUCAUUGAGCUAGUUCUGGGAGUAACGAACUCCUUGUAGCAGAACUUGUACGUGUGCUAGUUCUGGGAGCUGAUCCUAUUUGUGUGUUAUAUGAUGAAGCAGAACUUGUAGGGCUCCUGUGAUAGACUUGGGCUGUAUGUGUGUAAUCUAAUUAUAAACUUGAUGCUGAUCACA